rnacentral:rRNA from 1 species
GACGAACGCUGGCGGCGUACUUAACACAUGCAAGUCGAACGGGUCUGCCCUGUUUUUUGCGGGGUGGGUCAGUGGCGAACGGGUGAGUAACACGUGAGUAACCUGCCCCUCACUUCUGGAUAACCGCUUGAAAGGGUGGCUAAUACGGGGUGUUCUGGCUGUGCCGCAUGGUGUGGCUGGGAAAGAUUCACUUUUGUGGUGUUUUGGUGGGGGAUGGGCUCGCGGCCUAUCAGCUUGUUGGUGGGGUGAUGGCCUGCCAAGGCUUUGACGGGUAGCCGGCCUGAGAGGGUGGGCGGUCACACUGGGACUGAGAUACGGCCCAGACUCCUGCGGGAGGCAGCAGUGGGGGGUAUUGCACAAUGGGCGGAAGCCUGAUGCAGCGGCGUCGCGUGAGGGAUGGAGGCCUUCGGGUUGUGAACCUCUUUCGCCGGUGAAGAAGGUCCUGCUCUUUGUGGUGGGGUUGACGGUAGCCGGGUUAUGAAGCGCCGGCUAACUACGUG